GAUAACGCUGGCGGCGUGCCUAAUACAUGCAAGUCGAGCGGUAACACUUCGGGUGACGAGCGGCGGACGGCUGAGUAACACGUAGGAACGUACCCCAAACUGAGGGAUGAGCACCGGAAACGGUGUCUAAUACCGCAUGUGGUCUUCGGAUUAAAGCUUCGGCGGUUUGGGAACGGCCUGCGCAUGAUUAGCUUGUUGGUGAGGUAAUAGCUCACCAAGGCGACGAUCAUUAGCUGGUCUAAGAGGAUGAUCAGCCAGACUGGGACUGAGAACGCCCCAGACUCCUACGGGAGGCAGCAGUAGGGAAUCUUCCACAAUGGGCGAAAGCCUGAUGGAGCAACGCCGCGUGCAGGAUGAAGGCCUUCGGGUCGUAAACUGCUUUUAUUGGUGACGAUUAUGACGGUAGCCAAUGAAUAAGGAUCGGCUAACUCCGUGCCAGCAGCCGCAGUAA
rnacentral:rRNA from 1 species